UACGUAGGGGGCAAGCGUUGUCCGGAUUUAUUGGGCGUAAAGAGCGUGUAGGCGGCCAGGUAGGUCCGUUGUGAAAACUGGAGGCUUAACCUCCAGCUGUCGAUGGAAACCAUCUGGCUAGAGUCCGGAAGAGGAGAGUGGAAUUCCUGGUGUAGCGGUGAAAUGCGCAGAUAUCGGGAGGAACACCAAUUGCGAAGGCAGCUCGCUGGGACGUCACUGACGCUGAGACGCGAAAAGCGUGGGGGAGCAAACAGGG
rnacentral:rRNA from 1 species